GUCUCCGUAGUUCAAUGGAUAGAAUAAGAGUUUCCGAAGCUCUUGAUACAGGUUCGAUUCCUGUCGGAGACGCCA
rnacentral:tRNA from 3 species